rnacentral:rRNA from 1 species
UACGUAGGGUGCGAGCGUUAAUCGGAAUUACUGGGCGUAAAGCGUGCGUAGGCGGUUCGCUGUGUCCGAUGUGAAAGCCCCCGGGCUUAACCUGGGAAUGGCAUUGGAAAACUGGGCGGGCUUGAGUGCGGCAGAGGGGGGUGGAAUUCCGCGUGUAGCAGUGAAAUGCGUAGAGAUGCGGAGGAACACCGAUGGCGAAGGCAGCCCCCUGGGUCGACACUGACGCUCAGGCACGAAAGCGUGGGGGAGCAAACAGG